GUGGGGAAUAUUGGACAAUGGGCGAAAGCCUGAUCCAGCAAUGCCGCGUGAGUGAUGAAGGCCUUAGGGUUGUAAAGCUCUUUUACCCGGGAUGAUAAUGACAGUACCGGGAGAAUAAGCUCCGGCUAACUCCGUGCCAGCAGCCGCGGUAAUACGGAGGGAGCUAGCGUUGUUCGGAAUUACUGGGCGUAAAGCGCACGUAGGCGGCUUUGUAAGUUAGAGGUGAAAGCCUGGAGCUUAACUCCAGAACUGCCUUUAAGACUGCAUCGCUUGAAUCCAGGAGAGGUGAGUGGAAUUCCGAGUGUAGAGGUGAAAUUCGUAGAUAUUCGGAAGAACACCAGUGGCGAAGGCGGCUUACUGGUCCAUUACUGACGCUGAGGUGCGAAAGCGUGGGGAGCAAACAGGAUUAGAAACCCUAGUAGUCC
rnacentral:rRNA from 1 species